GAGUUUGAUCCUGGCUCAGAUUGAACGCUGGCGGCAGGCCUAACACAUGCAAGUCGAACGGCAGCACGGGAGCUUGCUCCUGGUGGCGAGUGGCGAACGGGUGAGUAAUGCAUCGGAACGUAUCCUGGAGUGGGGGAUAACGUAGCGAAAGUUACGCUAAUACCGCAUAUUCUGUGAGCAGGAAAGCGGGGGACCUUCGGGCCUCGCGCUCUUGGAGCGGCCGAUGUCGGAUUAGCUAGUUGGUGAGGUAAAGGCUCACCAAGGCGACGAUCCGUAGCAGGUCUGAGAGGAUGAUCUGCCACACUGGAACUGAGACACGGUCCAGACUCCUACGGGAGGCAGCAGUGGGGAAUUUUGGACAAUGGGGGCAACCCUGAUCCAGCCAUGCCGCGUGAGUGAAGAAGGCC
rnacentral:rRNA from 1 species